rnacentral:tRNA from 1 species
UGGCUCAGGGGUUAAGAGCACUGGACUGCUCAUCCAGAGGUCCUGAGUUCAGUUCCCAG